UACAAGUACUUGGACCAUCACGUAACCAGCUAUAGAAAACAAGAGACCAUGGCCAGAGGGAAUACAACUGUGACUUGUCUCAUGUGGCUUUCACUGGUUUUAUCAAUUGCUUUGUGCGCGAAUGCAACGGCCGGUGCUCGCCGGGGAACAUUCCAACAAGCCGUUUAUCCCCAAGGCUGCCGUUGCUGCUUUUUCGUUGGGAAACAGUUCAUGCUUCGAUGUGGCAAAGUAUGCUGCGGUGAUGAUUGUUGUUUUUAGAAACGAGACACCAAUUUCUCCCUACUUCCAAUUGCAUGUACUCCAAAAAAUACUGAAAUUGGACUGCUGUGAUAAUAAUUAAUGUAAUAUGUUAGGUCUGAAUUGUCAUUCCCCAAGAAUGCACAUCCAUAGUCUUAUGUUUUCCUCAAUAAGAAUGUAAACCUUACUCUACAUUCUUUACAAUCAACAAAUAAAGUUUUAUCUUUCCAUGCCCAUUCUA